ACAACAAUCGGACCGUCGCUCUACCGAGUAAUAUCACCCGCUCGGUGGAAGAUCUUCCUUUCGUCGU
rnacentral:pre_miRNA from 1 species